GGGAAGUAAUGCAGCGGUGAUGGUACUGCGACCAGCCUUGAAAACUGGGUUCUGGUGAUGAGCCGGAUGGGGUUCGACUCCUCUGCUUCCCGCCA
rnacentral:tRNA from 1 species